GUGUCCAGCUGGUGCUGACUCUUCCGGUCCACCUCCUCUAGUUUCUUCAAAGGAAAACCCAGGAGGAGAAGUUUCUACACUUAACCACAUCAGAACGCCACACAGGAACCGCAUUUCGAGGACUUCAAACAGUCAGCUGUUGACUUCAAGAGCUACGGCCGCCUCGUCCCGCACCGGAGGGAGGAGGCCGUGCUUCAGGAAGGAGUCGUGUUGUCUGGGAACAGAUGCUGCACAUUUGCUGACUGGGGAAAUGUCUGCAAGUCCUCCAGGAACUGUGUCACUCACUAACCGAGGUGGCGUGAACACGUUGCUAAAGGCUACGCCUCUUCAAAGGUGAAUUUGAAAGCUGUGGGCAACAAUGUCCUUGUUCAGGAUGUCACUGCGGUGAUACUUACAAUUUACGCGACUUGUCAGAAUACAUGUAUUUGUCAUAUGUAGGAAAAACAACUACAUUCAUACAGAAAAUGUGCUUUAAUCUUUCAU